GGGGGUGUAGUUCAAUGGCAGAAUUGCGGUCUCCAAAACCGCUGAUCAAGGUUCAAAUCCUUGCACCCCUG
rnacentral:tRNA from 1 species